UACGCCGAUUACAGCAGGCGGUCUGGGUUCAACUACUAAGCAGGCCCGACCCUGUUUUGACACAAUAAUGGUUUUGACUGUUUGCUUGUGUCAACUUUGUGCUGACAUGCUCACACAAUAUUUCGUCAGUGGGAGAAAAAAACAAUGCGUUAGCAUCGCCAGCAUUCACACGCAAAUUCUCCAGAAAUUGCACACAGCUCUUUCCGUGUGGUGUUUUUAUGGCUGUUUGGCGACACCUGGUGGAUGCAAUCAUCAUUGAAAGCUUUUCAACAGGUCUUGAGUUGGACGCCUUGGUUACCGGAUACUUUCUAACAAGCUUCUGUCUGAUGCGGCCGCAUCUCCAUGGGAGGCUGGAAUAAUGGAGGGAAAUGGAAAAAGGCGGGAGGGACAACAGGAAAGAUAAAAGUUGAGCAGAAACCUGGCUGCCUUCCGUGGCGGUGUCGUCGGCAUCAGCUAGAGGGUGAAAGGUGAGGAAGUGAGGACAGAGCGAGGGAAGAUGGCGCAUGUAGAAGACCACAAGGCGCACAAGGAGGCACGCAGAGGAGGCGAGUACUUGCUUUUUAAAGGUGAGUCGGAGGUCGGCUCCCGGGCGGAGGCUUUGCGUCGAGACAGAGACGAGCAGAUAGAAUGCACAAGGAGACGACAGCAGCCUCUGUUUCUCGGCGUUGGCCUCAUCCCAGUGCCCGUCCUCCAUCAGCCUUUGGUCGGGCCGCCGUCGGCUGUCGGUGGGCGCCACGCCCUCCUCGGGCUCGUUGAGCGUGAGGGCCAGCGAGGAGAAGAAGUACAUGGUCUCCGCUCCCUCCCUGCGGUAAGACACCGGCUGAUUAUACGACCACGUGUUCCCCUUCAGCUUUGCCGCAAGCUAACGUACGGCAGCGGGUUCUUCCUCCAGAUUUCUUUGGCUUUGAGGGUCUGGUAGACGGUUCUCUGUUUGCCCUCGCCGCCGUUCUCGCUCUUGCUGCUCUGCAUGAUCCUGGAGAAUUCCAUCUUCUCGUCCCAGGUGCCCGACAGCACGUAAUGCGCCUUUCCGUCCUUGUCGGUCACCACGCCCGUCACCUAGGAGACGGAACUCAGCAUUUACGCUAGCAAGCGACUGUAGUAGUAAGAGCGACUCAUAAAACUCUUCAAAGUCAUUACUUGCUUACAUAGUACUAUAAAACAUUAAAUAUAUACAUAUAAAUAUAAAAGUAAGCAAUAUCAAAUACCAAAAUAUUAAAAAACACAAUGUAUGUAUAUUUAUACGGCAAUGUAGGCUUUUGUACAUGAAAAAUAGCUGUUAAGAGUGUAUAAAGUAUCUCUCCCAUCCAUGGUUUACUUGAUGAUAACCAACAUCUCCUAAGUUCUCCCAUCAGCACCUUUUAGCAUUCUGUGUUGCCGUGCUGAUCGUAUUGUUCAGGUAAGGUACUAGUAGUACUAACCAUCCAUUCCUAUGAACAAGGCUGUGUUGUAUUGUUCAGGUGAGGUACUAGUAGUGCUAGCAAGCCAUUGAUGGCAGAAUGAGAUGGUGUGCGACUGACCUUUCGUGGCACGUCUCUGGAGAAGUAACUGUAGGGAGCGAACUUGAGGUGGCAGUGGUCCCCCGUCUUGUGGUUGAUCACGUCGAUCUCCCCUGACUAAAGAGAGAAAAGCAGUACUUUCUGUCACCCUGCACAGAGAGCUACGUCUUUUAUCACUGUAGAGCUUGUACGAUAUGUACCUGGUCGAUCCAUAACUUGCCCACGAUAAUAUUGUGUAUUGUGGUGGUGACUUUCUUCCAGGAGUAAUGGUUGUUGCUCUUGGCAAACGUGCAGUGGAUGGAACCUAAGCAGAGAUGCCAUGACCGUACCAACCCACAUGCAGAAGAUAAGGUAUAUAUAUAUAUAUAUAUAUACUCACCCAGCGGCAUGAUGGACAAAUAUUUUCCUCGAAACUUGCUGGCCAAGGUGAUUUCUUGUCCCAGAGUCCAGCCUUUUGCAGAGAAGGCGUGGUGGGCUGCAGCGGGGGGGUGGUGGCUGACCUGACAGGUGAAACAUUCAUUUUAGUUGACAAUUUGCUGGAUUUUUCAGGGAAUAAUACUACAUCACGCUUCCAGCAUCACUCUAUCAAUGAUUCAUUAAUCCUGGUUGAAUAUGGCCUAUUAUUAGUAAAAAAAAACAACACACAUAAUGAAGCAUAAAGUUAGGUGUAGCGUGUUAAGAUGUGUUUGUUUGGGCCGUACCUGCUCGCAGAGGGAGCGGUAGCCACACUCCCUCAGGCGAUCCAGCUCAAAGGUUUCUCCCAGCAGAGGGUUGAAGGGUUUCCCGGUGCGGUGGACGGUGGUGGAGUAGGAGGAAACGGUGAAGGCCGCCACGUAGCACAUCUGCUCCAGAGAGCUCUGGCACUUUGCCGCCUUGUCCAGCAACUCGUAGUACUCCAGGUCCUCGGACAGACGUUGCAACAUGGAGAGAGGCUCAUUGAAGUUCACCUGGAGACGAGACAGCGUGGUGCUGAAGCUCCUGCGCCUACAAGAACAGCGCAAAGGUGUCUUACAGGCAUUGGGAUCUUUGAGAGCUCUUUUCCAAUGCAGUUCUUCAUGAUGCUCCACAGGUUGAGGUAAUAGUUGGGCUUGUCGGGGAUACGAGUCCGCCUUUGUCUGACGGGCUCCAGGGACUGCAGGGACUCUGGGCUGGAGGCCAUGGACAACUCAUCAAACUGAUGGAGGAGAAGGAGUUACUACACCAGGAGGUACAAAAACAAAGGCUUUAUUUGCUGUGGGUGGAAAUUGAAAGAACACACGUUGACUGACUGGUCGUCCAUUCCGGUCUCGUUGCUGAAUCCGCUUACAUUGCUGCCGGAUCUCCUGUGGAAUGAAAACACAAUUAGCUGGCGAGGUGCCUUUCAGUGUUGGGGACAUGAUAGGUAUUUAGAAGAACAAAACACCCAAUGGAACAGCAUGCAGGGAUUUCAGUCAUGCCUACUGGUGGUGGUAAAGUAUAUCCGUAGACACAGCUGCCCUGGGGCAGACUGAUGGAAAUUUGCUUGUGAAUUCACACCUAUGGCCUCAGUUAGAAAUCCUCCAGUUUUUGCAUGUUUAAUGCUAGUGGCGACUUGUCACACUUUGUUUUGACAGUCCUCAAACACACCAUCUACCUUUCUCCCACGCUGCGCAGGUAAGACUGUGCUGUAUUUCCCCUUUUUCUUUCCCCUCAUAUUUGCUCCCAAAUGCUGAUACUACAUGGUGACCUUGCUGAGUGCUAAUGUGUAUAUCUGUUGGGCUGGUACUGGUGGUAGUACUUCAUUUGCUGUCGUUCCUGUCAUAGUUGUACACAAUAUAUCAGGUAGAUGUCUAUAAGGUAAGUAUGCUUGCUCUUCUUUUCAUUGGGCUUUUCCCUCCAAGGGUCGCCACAGCAAACCAGUCUCCUCCAUCCAACCCUGUCUUCUGCACCAACUACCCUCAUGUCCUCCUUCACUACAUCCAUAAAGCUCCUCUUUGGUCUUCCUAAACGCCUCCUACCUGGCAGCAUCCUUCUACAAAUAUAAGUGUGCUUUGCUCAUGUGUUGGACAUCUCUCCUGGUGCUGUUGCGACAGUAGAUCCAAAUAACUUGGCUCUUACGGAGAGAGACAUCUUCAGGGCUUUGAAGCUAAAAGUACCAAUGAAAAUUCUCAACAUUCUGGGUUCCACAUCCACCUCUGUGUGGGCCCACGGUGCGUCAAACACAGCAAAGUGAAAGGGAAUUUUCCAGGAGCAUGUUAACUUUGCCAGCCCUAACAUAUAUUUAUUUCCUAAUGAUUCCGACUGGCCCACGGUGCCUGGACAAAGAUAAGUGAUAAUUGAGGGACCCCUUCCCUAGACUGUGACAAAGCUGUAGGAGGUGCUGUGCUUGGGACCUGUGAUAUUUUGGAUCAGCGGGGACUGUAAUGAACUCUGCCGGGUCCUCCAUGGCAUCGAAGAACACAAUGUUGUCAUCCUCGUCACUGGAAUCUCCUUUCCCUGAAAGGGCUCCUGGAAAAACACAGAUGGCGUUUAGACAUGCGCAUGAAAGGUCUUGGAGGAAAUGGAGGAGAAGCGCACCUUUGCUACCUGAGGUGGGGUUGCUGUACGACGACGGGAGCACCGUUGCUCCACGGAAAGCUCUCUCCAAGUGGUUGUGCUGCUUGGCCAGCUGCUCCAGGGUCUCCUCCAGUCUGACCCGCUGGUCCCUCUCCAGCUGCAAGGCCUUCUGCCAGCGCUUGCUGUGGUUCUGGGCCAAGGACAGGAAGUCUCUGCAUGCCUUGGAGAGCGGAAAGGCCGACAGAUCAGAUCCUUGCAUCCUUUUGUGGUUUUUGACACGAGGCGGCGACUUACAUUGAUCAUUGCGUUGGAGGUGAUUCGGAACAGCGUCGCCCGCUCCGUCACUUGUCUCAUCUUCUCACCCAUGUCCCCUCCAGGCUGGAUCCCCUCCAGUUCUGACAAAGACCUGUUUGUGGAAUCAUAUCAUCAUCAAUAAUGAAAUAUUGGGAUUGAUUAGGAUUCUUAUUUAAGUGUGAUUUUCUUAAAGAGAAACCCAUUUUCAUUGGGGGUGUUUUUGUCUUUUUUGUUUAUUAAAAGCCAUUGACAUUCAAUGUUAAAUACUCGUCAGAAAUGAUCAUUAUAUUCAUGGAAAGAUGGUCUCAAAAUCAUGCAAUAACUCAGGGCUCGACAAUAACGAUGUACCGAUGGCCCGGGGCAAGUUAAAACAAAAUUCGGGCAAGUAAAUCUAAUCAUUAAUAUUCCCGUCGGGCAAGUGCACUUUGGCAUGCCAUACUGCCAAGAGUUUUUUUUUUUACAGCGGUUCUUGUUGGGUGUUGGUAAAACAUGGACUACGUAAUUCCGCUGGUAAUUUGCAAACCAAUCCUUGCAAUGGACCAAUCAGAAUCGUUUAUUUAGACCGCGGUCCGUAAUCCACAGUCCGCGUUUUACCCACACCCGUUGUUCGCGAUCAACCAAUCAGCGAUCGUUUGACUAGGAAAACAUCCAUCAUGGCGUCGCUGCCAACAUCGUCUAAUUCUGAAGGAAACAGCAAAAAGUGAUGAAGCAGUGCCUCCUAAACAAGUAUUUUAUUAGCGGCAGCAAAUCAAAUGAUGGCACAGGUGAGUGUAUCACAUUGCUGUGACAAUUUGAAGUGGUCACAAUGAAACACCACCCAUUAGAUCCAAUACCAAGUGCUGAUUUUGCACAAGCUACAAAAUCUAGCGUUUCCAUUUCUCUGUGUAUUUUUCUCACCUUUGCUUCACAAAUUGUUGUUUGACCAUUGAGCAUUUUUUUCUGGAUUAAAAACACUUUACUAGUACACAAAUGUGUCUAUUCAAUAAUGUUUCAUUGUGGUGCGCAACUUAUAAAUAUCACUGCUUACUACGACUACCAUGUGUAAGGUAUUAUUUAUUAUUUUAUUUAUUUGAGAUUCUCAUGUGAUGCCACAAAAAAUUACAUGAUAUCAUUAUGGCAGUCCUUUCAUUUUACAUGGGGCAAGUUCGGGCAAGUAGUUCUCACCUUAAGGAUUCCCUAUGGGCAAGUCAUUUUGGUUUUUAAUGUAGAGCCCUGUAACUUUUUUACUGUCUGACCUGUUAUGCUGAUUGCAUGUCGUUACUGUUGUGGUAUGGGAUGUUCUCUGCGGUCUUAGUAAUAUUGUUCCAGUAAAGUACUGUCAAUGGAGACAAAUUUCCCUCUAUGGACCAAUAAAUCGGAUCGGCACCCGGCUAAAUUGGGAAAUGUAGAAGGCAUACUGAGGACUAGCUACUCAUGAAAAGCUGGUUUGCACGUCCACACAUGAGUUUGGUGUCAUGGCUGAUUAUGCAAAUUAGACAAUGAUGUCAUCUAUCCCCCACAA